rnacentral:rRNA from 1 species
UACGUAGGGCGCAAGCGUUGUCCGGAAUUAUUGGGCGUAAAGAGCUCGUAGGCGGUUUGUCGCGUCUGCUGUGAAAACCUAAGGCUCAACCUUGGGCUUGCAGUGGGUACGGGCAGACUAGAGUGCGGUAGGGGUGACUGGAAUUCCUGGUGUAGCGGUGGAAUGCGCAGAUAUCAGGAGGAACACCGAUGGCGAAGGCAGGUCACUGGGCCGCAACUGACGCUGAUGCGCGAAAGCCAGGGGAGCGAACGGG